AAGGAGGCACUCUAUAGGCGGAAUCUGGUAGAGAGUGAGCUGCAGCGGCUCCGCAGGUGAGGAGCCCAUGGGGCGGGCAGCCCCCAGAAAGCAGGCAGCAGGCCCUGACACCGGGAAGAGCCAACACAGCCACGGACCAGACAAGCAGACAAUCAGCGGACAAUCGGUUCUGGACUCACCCCUCAUCCAGGCCCCCAGCCCAGCCAGAGCCUCCGUGGCUGCGGGUGUUGGGAACCAUGCCUGCCAGCCAGUAUGUGCCCCUCAUCCAGGCCUGGCUGGGCCCUGGGGAGUCCUGUUUGCACAGCCCAGGGGUGUCCGGCCUCUGGCCCGCCCCGGAGCAGGGAGGGUGGCUGGGACCAAGCCCCGAGGGCCCCUGCAAGCACUUUACUUCCUGUUCCUCCCCAGCCUUAACCCCAAAGCCCUCCUGCACCCCAAAGAAGCCACUGAGGCUGGCCGAGCCCCACUGUCUCCCCAGGGGCGUCGACCUGGCCCAGCUGGGUCCCCAGGGCCAGCACAUGGAAUAAAAUAGCCAGGGCCACACUCAGCCCAGCUCUGUCCUGUCUGUUUCUUGCUC
rnacentral:lncRNA from 1 species